UUUUACCCAGGCUGGAAGCUUAAAAAUACACCAACUCAUCCACAGUGGAGUUAAAGCACACACCUGUGACUUGUGUGGAAAGUCUUUUACCCGGGCUGGAGAAUUAAAAAUACACAGACUCAUCCACAGUGAAUUUAAAGCGUACAACUGUGACUUGUGUGGAAAGUCUUUUACCCACGCUCAAAACUUUAAAACACACCAACUCAUCCACAGUGGAGUUAAACCUUACAGCUGUGACUUGUGUGGAAAGUCUUUUACCCAUCGUAAAUGCCUAAAAUUACACCAUAUCAUCCACAGUGGAGUUAAAGCACACAGCUGUGAGAUGUGUGGCAAGACGUUUGCUCAAAAUAGCGACUUACAGAAGCAUCUAGUUACCCACUCUGGAAUUAAGGCGUACAGCUGCGACUUUUGUGGAAAAAGUUUCAGCGACAAACAGUACCGAAAUAUUCACCUACGGUUUCACACUGGAAAUGAUGUUUCCCGCUGUGAUCAGUGUGGGAAACUGUUUGCAACAGAUGCACAGUUACAACAACACAUGUUUAUCCACACUGAGGAGAGACCUUAUAAAUGUGACCUGUGUCAGAAGACCUUUAAAUCUCCACAUCACCUGAAAAAACACCAAAAGACCCACACCAGAAAGUAACUCUACAAGUGCAGUUACUAAUCAGAGCGACACAGAUGGAUCCAGUUCUCAACCCUGUCGUCACUGUGGUGGUGGGAAAGCUUCUCUGUGACCUUUGUAGAAAAACUUCCAAUCAUCAACGGGACCUUAAACCACAAACGAAGCCACACUGGAGACAAAAUGAACUACUGCAAAGAAUGUGGGAGAGGCUUCCACACACCAAGUACAUUAAAAUACAUGACCUCUCCACAGUGGGGUCAAAAAGCACAUCUGUGACCAGUGUGGGUCAUCCUUCACCACUGGACAUAAGCUCAAU